UACAGAGGUCUCAAGCGUUGUUCGGAUUCAUUGGGCGUAAAGGGUGUGCAGGCUGCCCCUCAAGUGGUGUAUGAAAGGGCUCGGCUCAACCGGGCUAGGUUAUGCCAGACUGAGGGGCUAGAGAGCGAGAGCGGGACGUGGAAUUCCGGGUGUAGCGGUGGAAUGCGUAGAGAUCCGGAAGAACACCGGUGGCGAAGGCGGCCCGCUGGGCUGUGGCUGACGCUGAGGCGCGACAGCGUAGGGAGCAAACAGG
rnacentral:rRNA from 1 species